UUCUCCAGUGAAUUUAUAAGAAGUUGAAAAAGUGCCAGUUUUCUGCUAUAUCUAUAGCACAGUUACAAAUACAUCCAAAUGUAUUACUCAUCAGAAAUUGAAAAGUGUAAAAAUGGCGUCGCAAAGGCCAGUCAACGAAGUUACAACAUGUUACGAAGGCCCAAAUAGUGGCAUACAAAGGCAGGCAGAAUUGCUAUGAGAAAAUGAAAUUUGAUUGAAGAAAGAAAGUCAGCGUCGUCAUCGUCGGGCAGAGUUUCACAAUGCGGAAAUGAGGCUACACAAAACCCAUACAGCGUUGCAGAUUUUGUCGCUCGUUCGGACAGAAAAUUGGUUACUAGGCAGGCUCUGAAGCAGAUGCAAAGUGAAGGUUGAGGCUUUUGAAUCACCACACAGGCAGGAAAUGCACUGAAGGCGUUGUUGUAGCCGAUUCCGAUUUCUGCUGACAUUGAGGAAUUGUCAUAGGAAGCAGUUGGGCGUUGAAAGUUGAUACGCGAUCGAUCGAACUUGAACUCGAACCCCUGUGCUGUAAAGGGCGUGCCUUAUGAAUGCUGAAACAUUUUGCAUUUUGGCCGCCUGACGCAGUCCAGAUUCCUGCGACUGUGUCGAGUCACUCAGGGUGCAUCGUGUAUAUCAGAUUGAUUGUGCGGAUUAAAUUAUAGGAACUCUGGUGUAUCGACUUCUCUGCUCCACUAGACUCUUGCCAAAGUCACACAGUCUGUUGUUUAUCUACAUAACAUCAUACCGACACCAAAACAUACAGAUAUAUCUCUGUUCCGACUAUCGAUCGGUUGAUCUUGCCAGCGUAUUAAAUCUGUCGAAAGAAACAUCGUCCCCUGGAGUAUCAAAUAAUCGAACGAGUCGAAGAAACUGUAGUUGGUUGGUAACAUUAGCAAACAAGUUAAUUUUGGAAUUUAUGUUUCUUUUAUAACUUUAAACUCAACAAUGCAAAAAAAACACACACGCAAACAGCGUCUCUCACUUAAGUUCUUAAAUAGCUGAAACUGUUUAAAGACUUUUCUGUUUUUGUACAACCACAAUGCUAAGAAAACAACUAUCUUAUAAUACUGUAAUUUAACUUUUCCAGUUAAAAAAAAAACAUUUUACCAAGAGCAAAAGAGAAAAAUUAUCUGAAAAAGAAUAAAAAUAUAAGAUCUACAAUAAAUUUCUAAAAAUUUG